rnacentral:rRNA from 1 species
CCGGUGGCGGCUGGGCAUGCGGCGCAUUAGCUUGACGGCGGGGUAACGGCCCACCGUGGCGACGAUGCGUAGGGGUUCUGAGAGGAAGGCCCCCCACACUGGAACUGAGACACGGUCCAGACUCCUACGGGAGGCAGCAGUGAGGAAUAUUGGUCAAUGGGCGGAAGCCUGAACCAGCCAAGUCGCGUGAGGGAAUAAGGCCCUACGGGUCGUAAACCUCUUUUGCCGGGGAGCAAGGGCCGGGACGCGUCCCGGCCCGGAGAGUACCCGGAGAAAAAGCAUCGGCUAACUCCGUGCCAGCAGCCGCGGUAAUACGGAGGAUGCGAGCGUUAUCCGGAUUUAUUGGGUUUAAAGGGUGCGUAGGCGGGCUUUUAAGUCAGCGGUAAAAAUUCGGGGCUCAACCCCGUCCGGCCGUUGAAACUGGGGGCCUUGAGUGGGCGAGAAGAAGGCGGAAUGCGUGGUGUAGCGGUGAAAUGCAUAGAUAUCACGCAGAACCCCGAUUGCGAAGGCAGCCUUCCGGCGCCCGACUGACGCUGAGGCACGAAAGUGCGGGGAUCGAACAGGAUUAGAUACCCUGGUAGUCCGCACAGUAAACGAUGGAUGCCAGCUGUCCGGGCCGAAUGGGGCCUGG